CGCACCCCCGGGGGCUGCAGCGCCCCGGCCGGGAGCAGCCGCUCUGGGACGGCCGCUGGGGCCGAGGUGUUGCUGCUCCUGCUCCGAUUGUGCCUGGUGUGGGACUGGAGCCCUGGGGAAAUACAAGGAAAAAAACCCCCAUAUUAAAAAAACAGUGAAAAUUAUUUGUUCUUUAUUUCCAGAGCCGUGAGGAUCAUCGAGUCAAAUGCUGAGAAGUGACUGGCCCAGCUGCACAUUGAACACAGAAUUUUGGGCUUCUCAGUACACUGCUCCAAAUACCUGAGCCAAUCCCAGGGUUGUUCCAAAGGUCCUGUGAGGGAUGGGAAUGACUGCUGCCAGAACAAGACAAGUCCUGAGGGUCACCUUGCUCUGUGGCAGGGGGCGUUUCCUGCAGUGUGUCCCAGCUGGCUGGGAGUGCAGGGCAGCAGGAGGCCAGAAGCUCCUGAAAGGCAAGCAGCACCUCGUGUCUUUGGGAUCUGCAGGGGAGGAGCUGUGCCUGCACCGUGGCUCCUCAGCCAGGGGCUGCUCUGACCAGGCACAUGGAAAUGCUUCAGCCUGGACAGAGACCACCAACAGCUCAGAAGGACCCCAAGGAGCAGCUGGCAUUACUGGGAAUGGAGGCAAGGGCUGUUUGCAGAGGGGCUCACACAGCAAUUCCUGGUUCAGAGCUCCCACACAGCUGCCAGCUAUGUCCCAGCCACCCCAAAUCCCUUCCCUCCUCCCCAGCCUGAGGCCAUCAUCCAUCAGCAGCAUUAAAGCCAAGGCAGUCUUCCCCCACAGAUAUUAAAUCCCAGGCAGUAGCCCUCAGAGAUACCUGAAAAUCAGUGGGAUGGAGUUUGGAGUUUUCCAGGGAUCCAGCUGGAAGUGCAGAUGUCAUGGAAAGCUUUCACAGGUAGGUCCCACUGGAGGUGUGCUGAAGACAGAGAUGCAGAUCCCUUUCCUGAGAGAAAAGAAUUUGUAGAGGCCACUGCUGAGGCUCUGAAAGGAGCUGAGCUUCUGCAGGGAGAGAUGUCCCCACCUGGGCACAGGGGCUGCCUCAGCACAGGCUGGGAGCACAUCUGGCCACUGCCUUCUCCUGCUUUAAAACACCAACUGCAUCUUCUCCAUCCUGGAGCUCAGGGGGGUGAAAUCAGCUCCAUUCCAGGCAGCUCUGUCCAGUGACCCAGGUGUUGUGGUUUGUUCUAUGUUUGUUCAGUUCUCCCCCCGUUGUCGUUUAAAUGGUUCUGCCCGAAGUAUCUAGCAAGUGUCAAUCCCUGUACCCCUCCCACGUUGUCCUGGUUACCCCAAUGUAUCUCGUUUGUUCCCCUCCCCUGGCCGCCUGCCUGUCAUCCAGCACCCCUGCCUCUUUUUCCAGAAGCUUCUGGCUGGGGUGUUGGGUGAUUGGAUCAGGGGCCAGGGCCCCACCCGCAACUGUCUCCCAUUAGUUGUUUGCUGUUGUCAAUCUUCCAUGUAUCUUUUGUACCCCUCUCCUGAUUUGUUGUUCCCAACCCCGCCUAUUCCCUAUAAAACCUGAGGCUUUUCCCUGCCUCGGUGCUCAGACUUCUGCUCCCUGACCCAUCGCCACCCCUUCCAAUAAAACCUCCUACCCCCAGAA